AAAAAUACUCAAUCGCUUCGUUCCCGAGCGGCUUGAGAGAGCUGGGAGCAAUGAGCUUGGUCUAUCCACUCCUGCGGCUCCCAUGUCGCUGCGCCCUCCCGGCGGCGCCGCGGGCCGCCGCAGCGUCGGUGGUGUCUCUGUCGGCCUCGGCCUCGGUCUCGUCGGCGGACGGCGGGGGUGACGGAGACGAGGAGCUGACGGCGCGGGAGAGGCGGGAGAGGCGGAGGGAGGCGAGGGAGCUCAAGGCGCGGGACUGGAAGGAGGAGGUGGAGGAGCAGCUCAUCCACGAGCCGGCGCGGCGGCGGAAGAAGCCGCCGAAGCGGACGUGGCGGGAGGAGCUCAACCUCGACUUCCUCGCCGAGCACGGCCCGCAGUGGUGGCUCGUGCGCGUCUCCAUGGCGCCCGGCACCGACUACGUCGACCUCAUCACCAAGGCCGUCGCCCGCCGCUUCUCCGAGGUCUCCUUCAAGAUAUACAAUCCUGCAAUCCAAGUGAAGAAGAGACUGAAAAGUGGUUUAAUCAGUACCAAGUCAAAACCUCUGCAUCCUGGGCUGGUCUUUCUGUAUUGCACUUUAAACAAGGAGCUUCAUGACUUCAUCAGAGACACCGAAGGUUGUUAUGGUUUUAUUGGAGCUACAAGAGGUUCUAUUAAAAGGCAGAUUAAGAAGCCUAAACCAAUUCCAGCUGAAGAAGUCGAAUCAAUUAUUAAAAAGGAAAAGGAGGAACAAGAGAAAGUUGACAAAGAAUUUGAAGACCUGGAAAACUGGAAUAAUGUCGGUUCCUUUAGCAAACCUGUUGAAGACUCUGAACUUAUGUUAAUUAAUAAGAUCAAGAAACAGGUCAAGAAAUCAACUUCAAAAGGUGCCUCCAGCAACGACACUUUUACGCUCGGUGCCAGUGUUCAUGUUCUCUCCGGGCCUUUUGCAGGCUUCACUGGCUCUCUUCUGGAAGUAAUUCGUAAAAAUAAGAAGGUUACUGUCCAGAUGACACUUUUUGGCAAGGAGAGCUUUGUAGAUCUAGAUUUUGAUCAAAUUGAGGCACUCAAUACUUAAUGGACGCCAUGGUGCCCAAGCACACAAACUUCGCUCUCCUCUUUCCCCUGGUUAUGACCUGAAAAGAAUCAUAUAGGGAAUUACUAGUACAAGUGGGGAGUCUCUCUUUCCCCUGGCCAUGACCUGAAAAGAAUCAUGUAGGGAGAAGACUUGCAUAUUUUUCAUGCACAAAAUAAAUUGUGUAUCUGGAGUAUGUGACCUCACAUGUGGGCCUUUGGUUAUAGGAUAGGACAAUCAUUCGUUAUCAUUGCUGCUUCCCCAAGGCCCCAAGUGAAGUAAAUCAAGUAUAUUUAAGCUAGGCACAGACGCACUGUAUCAGUAGUUUUGUUUGUCGAAAUAGAUUCAGAAGUUUUGUCAGUUGGGCCCUGGAGAUAUGAAUAAAGCACUUGGGGUAUAUGGAUCUGUUGAAGACCACCGGAUUGGGUGACAAACACAACAGAAUAGUUAGCCUGUGAGCCACAGUAAACAUUAAGCCCCUGGCAAGUGUUUGGAAACGCUGGUUUUUGCGGACCAGGAUUGGUUCAACAGGAAAUCGCCGACUUGGUUGCUAAAGUUUCACCUCGACCUAUAGUUCUACUAUCAUGUAGAGAGCAAUGUUUCAACACUUUGUAUUCCUUUUUAGCACCACAGGAUACUAAUUCAUUUCAUAAUUCUGAUCAGUACAUUCAUUUUUCAACCAAAUCAAAUGGUGGUAAAAGAAGGCCGGUUUUCAUUGGA